GAUGAACGCUAGCGGCAGGCCUAACACAUGCAAGUCGGGCGGUAGGGGACUUCGGUCCCCGAGAGCGCGUAACGCGUAGGCAACCUGCCCUUUGGAUGGGGACAACAUUCCGAAAGGAGUGCUAAUACCGAAUGUGAUCCAUUUCUCGCAUGAGAGAUGGAUGAAAGAUGGCCUCUAUUUAUAAGCUAUCGCCAAAGGAUGGGCCUGCGUCUGAUUAGUUAGUUGGUGGGGUAACGGCUCACCAAGACGAUGAUCAGUAGCCGGUCUGAGAGGAUGAACGGCCACAUUGGGACUGAGACACGGCCCAAACUCCUACGGGAGGCAGCAGUGGGGAAUCUUCCGCAAUGGACGAAAGUCUGACGGAGCAACGCCGCGUGAGUGAUGAAGGUUUUCGGACUGUAAAACUCUGUUGUCAGGGACGAAGGUGCGAUCUGCGAAUAGUUGAUCGUAUUGACGGUACCUGACGAGGAAGCCACGGCUAACUACGUGCCAGCAGCCGCGGUAAUACGUAGGUGGCAAGCGUUGUCCGGAAUUAUUGGGCGUAAAGAGCAUGUAGGUGGGCUUUUAAGUCCGAUGUGAAGAUGCGGGGCUCAACCCCGUAUGGCAUUGGAUACUGGAAGUCUUGAGUGCAGGAGAGGAAAGGGGAAUUCCCAGUGUAGCGGUGAAAUGCGUAGAUAUUGGGAGGAACACCAGUGGCGAAGGCGCCUUUCUGGACUGUGUCUGACACUGAGAUGCGAAAGCUAGGGUAGCAAACGGGAUUAGAUACCCCGGUAGUCCUAGCCGUAAACGAUGGGUACUAGGUGUAGGGGGUAUCGACCCCCCCUGUGCCGGAGUUAACGCAAUAAGUACCCCGCCUGGGGACUACGGUCGCAAGACUGA
rnacentral:rRNA from 1 species